AUGGCCCUGGCCCCGCACAGGAACGGCUGCAGCCUGGGGUGUGCGCUGGAGGUCUGGGGCUGGGAGGGCUGCAGCAGGGCCCCAGCAGCACUGUCCCAAGCAACCGUGUCCACCAAGAGCCGUGGGGCAGUGGAGGAGACACGCAACCAUCCCCGUCCUGCUUCGUGGUGGAUCCAGACCUUUCUGACGGGCAUUUCACAUCGGCUGUUUCCAAAAAAGGCCAAACCGGGCCCGCUGACCUCACUCCAGCCACCCCCGGGCUUUGUGAUGCGCUUUCUUUCCUCCCACCCCAGGAGGUUUUCCCAUCAAAGCCAUUCCUCGUCCAGUGAGCACUCCAAACAGCAACCCCGCGGGGUGCCACAGCCACCAGCGUCCGGCUGCCGUUGGGUUACGGCGUACACUGCGAUGGAGGGGCCCAGACAACCCUGCUGCAAGAGGAGACUAAAAAACCUACAGUGAUUCAGCAGCCUGGGUACACCCGGGGGAAUUGGCACCCAUGGGAGAGAAGCUGAGCACAAAGCAAGCACAAAGCAAGCACAAAGCAUCUCCGGACGGGUGAUGCCAACGCCCUCGCCUCCUCUGCAGCCCAACCCAGCAAAGCCAGCUCAGUGCCAGGGCUGACAGCACCGGGGUGGACAUGUGCUCAGAAAAAAGGCACAGACGAAGCACAUUUCAUCUAUGGCUGCACAAGAAAAACCUCUGCUAUAAAGCAUCCUAAGUGUGAGUGAAGAACCAUAAUGUGGUGAAGUUUAUGGGUUAGUGUGCCUUUCACAGAAAAGGGCUGGCUGGGGAUUUCAAAGCACAAACGCCUCGCAAGCGGCAAAGUGAUGCAACAGGGCCCUUUUGGAGUGAUGUACAAGGCUGUUUAUAAGAAGAAAACCCUCCAAAUAACUGUAGCCAACAGGAAAUUACAUGGUUGCUAUAUAUCUUUGCUAAAAUGUAAAAGUUAAACUAGUACCAGAGUCUUAACAUAGGGGAAUUUUCCUGACACAGUCAGGAAAACCACCUCAUGUCCAUUGAGCUGUAUGCCCGACUGGCACCCAUGGCACAGCCUGCAGGGCACAUCCUGCAUCUGCUGCAAGUCCGGACUCCUUAACCAAGUAAUCCUUCGGGCUUUCACCACACUCAUGGAAAGCCCCGCUUCCGCCCAGCUCCGAGUCACCAAAUACAGACUGGUGCUGCGCUGAGUCACAUUGACAUGACCAGCUCGCAGAGCUCCCAUGCCAAAACCACACAGGGCAGAGGGAUGCAAUAAUGCUGCUUUGACAUUGCCACACAUACGAGGGACUACAUGCAGAAUAUAUGAACUUGAACCGACUCGUAUCAUUCAAAGGAAAAAAAAAAGUCAUAUUAUGCUUGGACAUAUUCUCCAACUGAGUUUCUAUGCACAAUUCACCUGCCAGUCUGAAUGGUUAAAAAAAGGUUCAAAUCUAGAUGCAGUUUUCUCUCUCCCUCUGAACUGUGAAGUACAAGAAAGACUCAAUUUGUCAUUUCACAAAUGUGCUAGUGAGCAAUCAGCCCCUCUGCCAGAAUUUUUGGGAGGCUCCGAUUUACAUCAACCCACCCUCGCCUGAGUGUCAUUUUUGAGCCCAUUUGCAGAAUGACUGCUGAGGGCUGCAAGAGUUCAAGUACAAACCCAGCAUUCAAAGACAUGUCAAAAUCUUGACCCGAGUGAAGUCCAUGGAAAAAGGCCAAGCGAGUUGAAGGAUUUUUGUACAGAGGUAAAAACCUUGAAUAUAUUCUGCUGAAAACACUGCCAAACAUACACUGUUUUUAUCCCAGAUCUAACAAUAAGCCUCUUCCCCAAAUAUUGUGCAUUCUAGCUGCAAUAAGAAGUAUGCAAAAACGCAUUAUGACAUUGGAGAGAUUUAUCAGAGCCAAGAACCAGGUUUUCCCUAGCUAACUGGCCAAGACAUAAAAUAGCUUUUUAAAGCAAAAGCAAAUACAGCCUUAUCUACCUUGUGAAACUAAUUAUCUGCAGAUCAGAGGAAGAAAAAAAGACCUGCGUUACCCCCAGCCAACUCCCCCCAACAACCGCAGGCACUCCUUAGAGACAAAAAUAUCAAGACAACUUUCUUCUUGCUGUAGAAUUUCAGUGUCUUUCAUGCACACUUUUAAAAAAAUAUAAGGAAAAUACAAAACGUUGGAUAAAGUAACCUGAUGAAAUAAAGGUCUCGCAUCUGCUUGCA
rnacentral:lncRNA from 1 species